CUUUUAUCCAAUGAAUAUCCAUUCUUUUUUGUUCUUUAGGGAGAAAUUGCAAUAUUCGUCAGCAAGUCUGUCUCCAACUUUUUAAAGUGAGCAUUUGUUUGAUGCCAUUGAAAAGAGUUUUUUAUUUUUUCCCCCUUUUGGGAAAAAUAAGUUUUGAAACAGUAUUUUUUUUAAUAGAAAUUUUGAGUUUAAAAAGUAAGAAAAUUUUUUGGAUUACGUGUAAACUAUUUUAUUGUGAGAAUAUUUGGUCGAAAAUGAGUUUUAGCAAAAAGGAGUUUUUGAAGAAUGGUGGACAAACAGGAAUUGAAUGAGUUGUGUCUUAUCCUUUGAUUGAGUAAAUAAUUACAAUUGCCUUUGAAAAUCAUUCAAAUCUCUAUUAAAGAUGUCCUGGUUCAAAUUUAUAUGCAAAAACUUAAGUUGAAAAACAAAAUUAGUAUCAUAAAGUCGCACUGUGUAAAGGCCAUGACAGAAUGCUUCAUUAAAUUAUUCAAGUAAUAAUAAGGCCCAGUGUAGCAGUGUUAUAGGUUUGAAAAAGA
rnacentral:lncRNA from 1 species